rnacentral:rRNA from 1 species
AGAGUUUGAUUAUGGCUCAGAACGAACGCUGGCGGCAGGCUUAACACAUGCAAGUCGAGCGCCCCGCAAGGGGAGCGGCAGACGGGUGAGUAACGCGUGGGAAUCUACCCAUCUCUACGGAAUAACGCAUGGAAACGUGUGCUAAUACCGUAUACGUCCUUCGGGAGAAAGAUUUAUCGGAGAUGGAUGAGCCCGCGUUGGAUUAGCUAGUUGGUGGGGUAAAGGCCUACCAAGGCGACGAUCCAUAGCUGGUCUGAGAGGAUGAUCAGCCACACUGGGACUGAGACACGGCCCAG